CCUACGGGAGGCAGCAGUGAGGAAUAUUGGUCAAUGGGCGAGAGCCUGAACCAGCCAAGUCGCGUGAAGGAUGAAGGAUCUAUGGGUUGUAAACUUCUUUUAUAUGGGAAUAAAGUGAUGAACGUGUUCAUUUUUGUAUGUACUUUAUGAAUAAGGAUCGGCUAACUCCGUGCCAGCAGCCGCGGUAAUACGGAGGAUCCGAGCGUUAUCCGGAUUUAUUGGGUUUAAAGGGAGCGUAGAUGGAUUGUUAAGUCAGUUGUGAAAGUUUGCGGCUCAACCGUAAAAUUGCAAUUGAUACUGGCAGUCUUGAGUACAGUUGAGGUAGGCGGAAUUCGUGGUGUAGCGGUGAAAUGCUUAGAUAUCACGAAGAACCCCGAUUGCGAAGGCAGCUUACUAAACUGUGACUGACAUUGAUGCUCGAAAGUGUGGGUAUCAAACAGGAUUAGAUACCCCUGUAGUC
rnacentral:rRNA from 1 species